UACGUAGGGUGCAAGCGUUUGUCCGGAAUUAUUGGGCGUAAAGAGCUCGUAGGCGGUCUGUCGCGUCGGCUGUGAAAACCCGGAGCUCAACUCCGGGCCUGCAGUCGAUACGGGCAGACUGGAGUUCGGCAGGGGAGACUGGAAUUCCUGGUGUAGCGGUGAAAUGCGCAGAUAUCAGGAGGAACACCGGUGGCGAAGGCGGGUCUCUGGACAGUUCCUGACACUGAGGCACGAAGGCCAGGGGAGCAAACGGG
rnacentral:rRNA from 1 species